AGGCUCAGCAGUUCCCUGGGUGCCUCUGAUGAGAAGAUUCUCCUGGGCUCUCUGGGUUUUACCCUCUGCUGGAGAAGUCCGGAUUCAACAACUGAAAUUGCUGGUGGCUAGAGUGUAUGAAGACCUGAGCACACUCCAGGCAGGAUCUCAAGGGCUGUACAUAGCCCUAUUAUUAAUGCUCACAACUCUAUGAGGUGGGUGACAGUAUCAAGCCCACUUUGCAGAUUCAUGAGAACACUGGCAAGAGCCCCCGCCCUGCCCGGAGAGGCAAUUCUUCACCUUCCACUUCCCAUUGUCACAGCAGUUCACGUUUAUCGUGGGUGACAUCUUCAGCUACAACGCGGUGUGACCGCGGCCAUGUUGGAACUGAGCGUUCGCCUCCAAACGUCAGCCUUCCGACUGAAGCCGUUUCAUGAAUAAUGAAAACAGAUAAACAAAUAGCAUCCUGAUUUCAGAGGGACUGCCUGUGUUACAACUUUGCCCUGGGAAGUAUGGAGUCUUGUCUCUGAAGAACUUUGGCCUGAAUGUCGAGUGAAAUCUUGCACUUUGAAAGUAAUAAAACAU